rnacentral:rRNA from 1 species
AUGUUAUUGGCUGACACGUGUAUGAUGCUUCGGACAAAUACACAGGGCGGCGAGUCUAACUACGAGAACACGAGCGAUCUCUUCGGCGACGGCAUCUUCGCGGUGGACGGCGACAAGUGGAAGCAGCAGAGGAAGAUCGCCAGCUACGACUUCUCCACGAGGGCCCUCCGGGACUUCAGCGGCGGCGUCUUCAACAAGAACGCCGCCAAGCUCGCGCACAUCGUCUCCGACAACGCCGCGGCGAAGCAACCCAUGGACUUUCAGGCCUUGCUGAUGAAAGCGACGAUGGAUUCCAUCUUCACCAUCGCCUUCGGCCUGGACCUCAACACGCUGUCCGGGGAGGCGGCGGACGAGGGGAGCCGCUUCGCCGCGGCGUUCGACGACGCCAGCGAGUUCAUCCUGCUCCGCUUCGUCAACGCGUUCUGGAAGGUGUCGAGGUUCCUCAACGUCGGCGCGGAGGCGGCUCUGAGGCACAGGAUCAAGGUCGUCGACGAGUUCGCGUACAAGCACAUCCGUGCCAGGGCCGACGAGAUGUCCGCCGGCAAGGCACACGACGCCGAGUCGAAGUGUGAUUUGCUGUCGAGGUUCAUACAGGCGACCACCAGCGAUUCCGGUGAGGUGGAUUACAAGUACCUGAGAGACAUCAUAAUGAACAUCGUCAUAGCCGGCAAGGACACGACCGCCGGAGCGCUUGCCCGGUUCCUCUACAUGAUGUGCAAGCACCCGGAGGUGCAGGAGAAGAUCAGCGAGGAGGCCAGGGAGGCUGCCGACGCCGGGGAAGCCGCGUCCAUCGACGACUUCUCGCAGAGCCUGACCGACGAGGCGCUGAACAAGAUGCACUACCUGCACGCCGCCCUGACGGAGACACUCAGACUGUACCCCUCGGUCCCGCUGGAUAACAAGGAGUGCUUUUCGGACGACGUUCUGCCCAACGGCUUCAGCGUCGGCAAGGGAGACAUGGUGUUCUACGCCCCCUACGCCAUGGGCCGGAUGGAGCGCCUGUGGGGUGAGGACGCCCCAAGUCUUCCGGCCCGAGCGGUGGCUAGACGAACACGGCGUGUUCCAGCCAGAAAGCCCUUUCAAAUUCACAGCUUUCCAGGCCGGUCCGAGGAUCUGCCUGGGAAAGGAGUUCGCAUACAGGCAGAUGAAGAUCUUCGCGGCGGUGCUGCUCCGUUUCUUCGUGCUGGCUCUGCGCGACAAGGACGCCAGCGUCAACUACAGGACCAUGAUCACGCUCUACAUCGAGCAGGGUCUCCAUCUCACGGCUGUGGCGAGAUGAUUCUGCAGUAUGUGGCAGCUGGCUUGGCCAGCCGAGCGUCCUUGUGCAGAGACACGAAGGGUGCUAUGCGACUUGUGUGCGGUCGCCACGCGCGAAUAAUAAGCUGA